GCGACAAAUGAUUAAAAUUUUGGUCAGUGAGCUCGCACAAAUCUAUAGUGGCUUCAAAAUAUGUGUAACAUAGUGCACGGAGUCUGAUGGACUAUAAUUUUCAUUUUUGAGGCUACAGGAGGACAUCACACACUUCAGAAGACGGAGAGUUGUACAUUGACACAGUUCAGCCCACAACCCCUGCUCAAGGUUGCAUUGAAAAGCUUGUGUCUGCUUUUCCCAUAAUCUCUGCACCCAGUGUCUCUCUCCAAAUUACAGACUUCCUUCAGUAAAGGGAAACUGCACCUUGCAUGUAUACGGUACGCUAUGGAUGUCACCAUCCUAGAGCUGUGACUUAUCUUCCACUGGGCGAGAUUGAUACAGAGAUGAAAGUGGAAUAUUCCUUCAAGCUGGGGGUGCCAGCAUAGACAGUAAAAGAAAUGGACACAGCGACCCCAUUGGAUUCAACGGAGACAAGUGAAGUCAAUUUGAAGCAUGCACUUCCUGGGUGUCCAGCGUACUGCGCAGACUCAAACUGAGCUUAAUGACAUAGAUGUCAUAUGAGCAACCUGUCUGACAAUUGUAAGUCUUCUAAUAGCCGUGCCACACAAAAUCUGAAUCACCCACCAAAUCUUGCAGAGACUGUGAGGGUGAACAGGAGCAAAUUUUGGUGGCCACGAAGGGAUGCAGCGAGGGGGCAAUGCCGGAAAGCUUGAGAACCGCUGCAGUAAGGCCAUAUCAGACCACAGUCAGGUGAAGCUUUUGACCUAGGCCAAUAGGCAGCCAACUAAGAGUAACUCAGCCCGACACGAAUCUGCAGAACAGAUGGGAGAACAUCGAGGAGAUGUGAAACCAGCGUCUGAUAACAGCCGUCUCACGGCGGCCGUUCUGCGUCUUACCUAACCUUGAUCUAUUAUCCAGACCAGCACAAAACUGUGUUCACAUCAGAAAGAUUGCCAGUGCCCUUUGUCUGGACUACAGCCUGCACUUAUUCACAUAUAGAUCAAUGGAGCGCCAUCUUAUGGCAUCUUGUUACAUCGCUAAAAAAUGAACAGAGGAUGGCUGAAAUGGAAGCUCCGGCGUGUCUGUGUCCUCCCGCGGGAUCUGCCUUUCAGUCUGGGAUGCACUUUUACAUCCAUCAUACAUGAUGAGUCCAGACGGUCAAAUGUGUGUCGAAGUGCGCCUUACAGAUGCUGCUCAUGAGACUGCAGGGAGGCAGACCGCAGAUCUCCAGUAACGUCUGCAGGGGAGCAGCUCUCACGCUUCAUUGCAGUACGUUUAAUGCCUUUCACCAGGUAAUGAGGCAGAUGACUCAACUUCCUGUUAACACAAUGAAUAAUUAUCUGUCUGAGACAAAGACAAACAGACAGAGAGAGAGAGAGAUGGUGAGUGAGUUAGUGAUGGAGAACAAGCAAUAGAGACAUGGUCUUAGGGGUCAGCUGCCAAUAGCUUGUAAUCCCAUACGAAAUAAGAAACAGUGAUGAGAUCUCUUUAUUAUCUCAAUUUUUUCACAUAGUUUUUGUCACAAAUGGUCUUAAUUUCUUCUAAGUAAUUUUUGUUAUUACUUAAAUGGAACAUGAGAACUCAAAUCUCCUAAGCUAUGCCAAAACAACAUUUUCUGAGCGAGCAACAAGAUUUUCCUCUGAGUUGCUUUGUAAUUUAAUGUGUUUUCACAGUGUAUUAUACAUGUACAUCUGGAAAGCACAGUUGGCCACAUUUAUAAUUGAGAAGUGCACAUCUUCGCUUGACUGUUGACUGGCACAAAGCAAUGCAACUUUGAUGCGUAUGCAUGCUAUGAUGGACACUUUACUGGCUUUAGUUUCUUGUCAAACCAACCUUAUAGUCUUAGAUUGUUGUACUUUAGGUAUUUAAAGGGUCACGCACAUAUUGAACGGUAGCUUUUGUUUUGUGUAAUAGAGCAGAUGGUGUUUACACUGCAA